GAUUGACAUUUACUUGUGGGUAGAAAUUGUUAUAGCUGAUUUGACUAGGAUAAUGAAUGGGCUGUGUGCCCCACUGCAACUUUUUGUUGCAUGCCCCGCUCACCCUCCUCGUGACAAGGAUUCCAUCACACAUGGAUGCAGAAACAAUUUAUUGCAUGGAGCAGCAGGAGAAGAUCAUUCUGAUACAAUUUAAACUUGGCAGCCUGAGGAAAAAACUACACAUUUUUCAUAUCAAUACUUUUCACCCAUUCUAAAAAAGAACAAUAUGUUGUAUUGGAUUUCCAGCUAAGAGAGUGACACCCACCUGUACAGACAGAUGGAUUGGGUGGCAUAGAUGCAAAAACCUGGGACUAACUUAGUUGUUCAACUUUUCAAUUUGGCACAGCUCAACAGAAUAAGACUAGAUGCCAUGGCAGAAAUCCUAUUCCAAAAUGCCACAUACAUGAGGAAGAUCGCACAAGCAAUUUUCAUGAUGACCUUUUUUUUGUACAACUGGGUAUGCAACUGAUGAGCACCAGUGCAGGGUGUGUCAUAACACGAGAGACAUCAGACACUCCAUUAUUUUAUGAUUGUACACGCUGGUGGUGUGAUUUCUGGUUUGUGCUGUGCAAUCCCAAUGGGAUUCGUGCCCUGAAGAAAUUUGGCCAUUUGCUGGUGGCUGUAAAUGUUGUCUACUGCCUGGUGGAUCACAUACCACCAUUCUAUCACAAGGACAGGAAAGAGCCACCUGAUAUUGAAAGGGAUGCCCCCCCCCAUGUAUUUCCUAUUGGAGACCAAUUGUCAAAUUGCGGAUAGUUAUACAAUUUUCUGUGCCACAGCUCCCUGUAAUGAAUCUGGAGAGUUGCUGGGUGGCCUACAGGCUGCAGAUUCUGUAUUCGAGAUAUGUUCCAAGGGCUUUUUUCAGGAUGAUCCUGGAAAAGCUUGGAGAUAUGAAAUCACUGGAGAAAUUUGGGGAAAGUGGGUGGGAGGGAGAGAAAAACUGGGUUUUAGGAUGGAUAGGAAGCUUGACAGUCAAUUCAUGGUAGCGUACAUAUCAUCAAAGUGCAAACCUAAGAAUGGCAUUGGAUAAAAAGAGAGAAAGAAGUGAUAGCAGUUUAUUUGGCAAUAGUGAACUGCAGCUGAAAUGGCUGAUUCCUAUUGGAUUCUAAAAUGGCUAGAAAUGUGUGUCACCCCCCAGUGAUGAC
rnacentral:lncRNA from 1 species